CUCAUUAAAUCAGCUAUAGUUUAUUUGAUGGUCUCUUUUUGUCUUUUUUUUACCUACUUGGAUAACCGUGGUAAUUCGAGAGCUAAUACAUGCGCAAGGUCCCGAGCGCGGGGGGCAGGGCUUCACGGCCCUGUCCUCGCAUGCGCAGAGGGAUGUAUUUAUUAGGUUAGAAACCAGCGUAGUCAGCAAUGGCUACAAACUCCCCUGGUGAUUCAUAGUAACUCUUUCGGAUCGCAUUCAUG
rnacentral:rRNA from 1 species